CUUGCUCUCGGGUGACGAGUGGCGGACGGGUGAGUAAUGUCUGGGAAACUGCCUGAUGGAGGGGGAUAACUACUGGAAACGGUAGCUAAUACCGCAUAACGUCGCAAGACCAAAGAGGGGGACCUUCGGGCCUCUUGCCAUCAGAUGUGCCCAGAUGGGAUUAGCUAGUAGGUGGGGUAACGGCUCACCUAGGCGACGAUCCCUAGCUGGUCUGAGAGGAUGACCAGCCACACUGGAACUGAGACACGGUCCAGACUCCUACGGGAGGCAGCAGUGGGGAAUAUUGCACAAUGGGCGCAAGCCUGAUGCAGCCAUGCCGCGUGUAUGAAGAAGGCCUUCGGGUUGUAAAGUACUUUCAGCGAGGAGGAAGGCAUUAAGGUUAAUAACCUUGGUGAUUGACGUUACUCGCAGAAGAAGCACCGGCUAACUCCGUGCCAGCAGCCGCGGUAAUACGGAGGGUGCAAGCGUUAAUCGGAAUUACUGG
rnacentral:rRNA from 1 species